GCUAGUGUGGCAGAGCUUGGCAAAUGCAA
rnacentral:tRNA from 1 species